rnacentral:lncRNA from 1 species
UAAAACAAUUUCAAGGUAUUACUUCAAUAUUCAUCACCCUUUAAGGAGAUUAUCUCAGUAGGAAUAACAUGAUGUGAACAGAGUCCUAGAAUACUUCCACGAUUGCAGCAUCUUAGAAUCUUUCCUGCCUGCACGUUCUCUGCGCCAGUCUGUCCUCUGCAAGGUGGGACCUCAGGCGCGGGGAGGGCGGACUGGCCCUGAGCCACUGCCUUAGUUUGCCGCUGAGUAGCCAGUGAUCCACUUCUCCUGAUGCUUGAUUCGGUUCUCCUUCCAGCAAACUUUUCCUAAACUGGACUUUUGACACCUAGAUCACACGUCUUAAGAGAAAAAAGAUGGACAUCCCCAAAGACUCUUCCUGCCUGCUGGGGGCCUUCAGAUUCCGUCUGCGCCUUCAGCUCUUCUCCGAGCCUCCAGGCUGCCCGGCCAAUCUUGGACUUACCCUCAAAAUCAUGAGAAUGACAUGGAGGUCAACAGAGAACUACCGCUGUGAACAUCUGACUGUGGCCUUGGACCGUGGUGGCUGGAGCAUACUCUGGCAGGGAGAGGACGGCUAAGCACGAUCAUGAGAGGCAGGGGUCUGGGCUCUAGACUCGGAGACGAAGGGCACCCUGCCUCAAUAUUCUUGGCUGUAUGUUUUGAGUAAGACAUUUAAGCUGUCUGAAUCACAGGCUCAUCAUUUUAAAAUUGUAAUUGAUUUUAGAAUUACAUAUUAUAAUAAUAAUAUGUGAUUAU